GGGUCAGUAGGUUGGUCGUGCCACCGGUACGUACUGGUCUCACUGAUUCCUCCUUCCUGAAGAACCGUAAUGCCAUUAAUUUGGUGUUGAGGGGAAACAGGACUGUUACUUUGAAAGAAUUAGAGUGUUCAAAGCAAGCUAACGCUUGAAUACAUUAGCAUGGAAUAAUGAAAUAGGACGAUCGAUCCUAUUUUGUUGGUUUCUAGGAUUGACGUA
rnacentral:rRNA from 1 species